rnacentral:rRNA from 1 species
GACGUAGGGCGCGAGCGUUGUCCGGAUUUAUUGGGCGUAAAGGGCGCGUAGGCGGCUUUGCAAGUGACGGGUGAAAUCCCUCGGCUUAACCGAGGAACUGCCUGUCAAACUGCAUGGCUUGAGACCGGGAGAGGUGAGUGGAAUUCCCAGUGUAGCGGUGAAAUGCGUAGAUAUUGGGAGGAACACCAGUGGCGAAGGCGGCUCACUGGACCGGUACUGACGCUGAUGCGCGAAAGCGUGGGGAGCAAACAGG